rnacentral:tRNA from 1 species
UUUUUUUUUUUUUUUUUUUUUUUUGUAUUUUGUCUUUUUAGGGCUGCUUCCAAGGCAUAUAUGGAGGUUCCCAGGCCAGGGGUCCAAUUGGAGAUGUAGCUCCUGGCCUACACCACAGACAGUAACGUGGGAUCCAAGCCACGCCUGCGCACUACACCACAGCUCACAGCAACACGGGAUCCUUAACCCACUGAGCAAGGCCAGGGAUCGAACCUGCAUCUUCAUGGAUGCUAAUCAGAUUCGUUUCCACUGAGCCAUGAUAGCAACUCCGAUAACCAUCCUUUUUUAACCUAUUAAUUUACUUCCUUUACUUCGAUGUUUGUAGAAAUAACAUAAAUUGAAGGAGAAACACAUCAUAUCACUAAAAUAAAUCAAAUGAAUUAGAAGUCAGAAGUAGUGAAACAACCUUAACCAUUUAUAACUAUCAAUAAGACGAAUUUCUCCGAAACGCAUGGCUUAGUUCUGAAUUUCUCAAGUUCAUGUUCUGGUUUUUGGAAAAGGUUCUGUUUAAGUUCAUUUAUUUCAAAAAAACGAAAAAUAGGAGAAUUCUUGACAACUUCACUGUCUUCAGCAGUUUAGCUUUCUUACCUGCAUUUUUUAAAUUACUCUGGUAAAUUAAAACGAGAUGUCUGUUAACACACAUGUCUCACUAAGAGGUUAUAAACAGUGUAUCUCCAGAAUAAUUUAGUAACAUUAUCCAGAAAAAGGGACUCGUCCCCAAGACUUCAAAGUGAACCUACGUCUAUACCCGCAAACGAACACAACACGCCUGGUGCAAAAGAAGCUCCCACUGAGCAGACAAAUCAGCCUUAAACACUGCUGACCUUAAACAUCAGUUCGAUAUUCUAAUAUUUUCUUUAACCACAUGCACUUUUAGGAGUAAUACACCCAUGCACUGUCGAGGACUCUUAAGGCCCCACCCGGUACGUGGCCACUUUCAGAAUACAAACGUCUGCGCUCCAGGUCUCGCUCUCGGGAGAUGUGUUAGUGCUGAGGGCAAGCAAACCCCAAAGAGCAGCAGACAACACCCUCACACAGUCAGGGGCUGGCACAACCUAGAGCCACGCCGGAGGACAGACAAGCGCCAGAAGACGUGAGCCCGUAUCAGACAACACACCGGCCUCCCCGGCUGCCUGCAAUACCAGACGCCACUGCUGUGAGCCAGAAACUGGCCCAGGAGGAAGCGGCCUAGGUCACAGCCCGAGUGACUCAGCUGCGUCUUCGGCUAGGCUGUGGUCAGCACCCUCUAACAACAAAGAGGUAAGAUGCUGACAUCUUACUACUGGUGACUAAAAAUUAAAAUAUAGGUAUUUACAAAUAAAAAUGAGCAAAUACAUACUAUGUACAGUAUAUGCUGAAAUCUACCUUUCUAUAACAUCUUAAAUGUUGCAUAGCUGUUCAUUUUACAGCCCUAGUUGGAAAACACCAUGAAUGCAGACUUUAAUACCGACCUUAGACUAUAUCCUCAAUCAGCUCAAACCAAAACUCUUAAAACCAAUCACUAAACACUCUAGGGCAGCAGCUCACAAACUGCAAUUCAGGAAUCCCUGGAGUCCCCUCAGACCCUUUCAGGGCAACUGCUAGGUAGAACCCUUUUCACACUAAUACUCAGGCAUACCAGCCUCUUCCUAGUGUCACCAGUUACCCUGGCAGGUGAGAAGGAACGAUGGAGAAACCCGAUGGCACGUGGCCCCAAACCACAGCAGCGGCACUCAACUGUACAAACAGUCAGUGCGCUUUUCACUGCUCUGCAGUCACAGUCAAAAAGGGGGGAGGCGGUCUCACUGGAUGUCUUUGAUGGGGAGCUCCUUGGUGGUCCAGGGGUUAGGAUUUGGUGCUUUCACUGCUUCCGCCCAGGUUCGAUCCCUGGUCUAGGAACUGAGAUCCCACCUCAAGCUGCUGCAUGCCAAGGCCAAAAAGGAGGGGGGGGGGUUAGAGAAAAAAACAAAGAUUGUAUUAAACUUGGACUCUUAAGAAUGUCUGUUCAAUAUUCUACUUGCCAAAGUCUAAUUCUACUUAGGGAGUUCCCACUGUGGUGCAGUGGGUUAAGAACCUGACUGCAGCAGCUUGGGUGGCUGCUGACACAUGGUUGGAUCCCUAGCCCAGCGCAGUGGGUUAAGGACCCAGCAUUGCCACAGCUGUGGCGUAGGUUUCCGCUGCAGCUCAGAUUUGAUCCCUGGUCUGGGAACGUCCAUGCCUCAGGUGUGGCCAAAUAAUAAAAUUUAAUUUAAAUAAGAAAAAUUUUUAAAAAGAGCUCCUACUUGGGCCACUUGUCAAAGCUGGACGGCUCUCAGGAGAAGUGCUGGUGCAGCUGUGUCACUGUGAGCUCAAGAGGCCGCCACGUCUACCUGGAGGGUGGCUGACACGCUGGCCACUCAGGUCUGGACCCCUGGCAGGCCGUCCCUGAGAAACGACGAGGAGAGCCGGGACCUCCAAGCGCCGCCUACGGCAGGGCUGCCAGGAAGCAAAGCUGAGCCCUGACGGCAGCACCAUCCCGGAAAACGCGACGUCACUGCUGACUGAGUGUGACAGCUUCCCGCCACGACGACGACGUUUCUCGUCGGGGACAUGAACAAGGGUGGUGCUUCUGCGUUGUUUAAAGACAUGAUCGACACUCGGAACUUCCGCGCAACUCAGUGAAGCCCUGCUCUCCAGACGGUCCGUGCCGCCCUGGGUACACGACCCACUCCAAGCGCAGGGCAGCCAAACGGGUCUCAGCCCCGGGGUGUGAAAACCACUCAACAGCAUCUUCCAAGGGAGAGCUGGGGCCAGAAAUGAACCUAAGGGACUCCAGCUCAAACUGGAAACCUUCACAGAACUGGUUCUUACUUUUAUCACCAAUGCCUCUUAAAAAUAAUCACCCCAGGUAUCUGCCAACACAAAAACUCACUGAAGUGAAAAAUAGGCGAUAUAACACGACCUGAGAACACACUGAGGAGCUCAGGCAAAAUCACGGUGUAUCGUAAAUGUGCGUAAAAUCAUGGUAGAUUUUAUUUAUUUAUUUUUAUCUUUUUUUAGGGCUGCACCCACGGCAUAUGGAAGUUUCCAGGCUAGGGGUCGACUCACUGCAGUUGCGCCGGCCUACGCCACAGCCACAGCAACGUGGGAUCCGAGCCGCAUCUGUGACCUAUGUCACAGCUCAUGGCAAUGCCAGAUACUUAACCCACGGAGCGGGGCCAGGGAUCGAACCCUUGUCCUCAAGGAUACUAGUCGGGUUCGUUACGGCUGAGCUACGACGGGAACUCCCAAAUCAUGGUAGAUUUUAGAAGCACUUUUCUAGAAGUCUGGAGCAGUCAGAAAUUUAUUCAGAUGAGUAUCAAUAGCCACCUAAAAUAAUGUAUCUGAGAGACACCUUCCCAAUGUAGAGGAAGUGACGCGUUUUAAGAAUACAGUGGUUUUAAACAUUUGACCGUGUCCAACGUGACCGCUGCGCCCACUGCAUCUUCUCGACUGAACACAUGGAACUAGAUCCCACGCAAGGCCAAGAGGGGGUCAAAACGGCCACCCCAAGUCUCAGUACCGAAAGCUGACAACAGCAGCACAAAGGGAAAGGACAAGGUAGAAACUGUGCUGGUUCUCCUGUAAAAUCAGAAGAUAAAAAGAGUAACAGGAAGGUCAUUGCUCAAAGUACCACUAUUAGCGAAAAGGCGUCAAGAGAAAAUACAUUCUUUAAAGGAACAAAUGGUUUAAAUUUGCAAAGAACAAACGUCUUAUUUUCCUUUAACAGAACAUAUGUGAAAUUAAGCAACAAGGACCUAUAAGCUGUGAUUCCGGGUAAAAAAAAAAAAAAAACCAACUAGACUGCUGUUAACUAGCAAACUAGUCAAACAACAGUAAUGAAUGAGCAUUUUUUUCACGGGUCUUUGAUUUUCAGGGUCAGACUCUGCUCCGCCACAAAAAACAAGGACACUCUCCGGUGGAGUUUUAGGAAGCAAGGCAAGACCUCUCAUUCGGAAAGACCUGUCCCCGUGCGGCUGUCCCACCACAGACGGCGGCAGAGCCAGACAACAGCGACACGUCCUCUUCCGUCCAGGUGGCUUCCGUCCAACCCAGGAGGAAGAUGCCUUUAAAAGCAUCAAGAAAAUGGCUGACACCUUGUGACAACGGCCCUGUCCAGCCCGUCAGGUUGGGGAAGUUCGGGGCUUCAGAAAUGGAAAAAGCAACGUGAGCACGGUGGCCUGCGCACACACCCAGAGGCCCCCCGGCGCACACCCGAGUCCCGUUCAGGCCUGACGACGGACCCCACGUGGUGACGCCAACCAGGAGGCAGCGAGGACACUCAGAAGGCAGAGCCUGCUGUGUGCAUUCAGCCUAAAAACAGGACAAUGCAAACGAGAGCCACUGAAGGUCAUGUCUUUUUUUUUUUUUUUUUUAGGGCCACACCCACAGCAUAUGGAAGCUCCCAGACGAGGAGUCGAAUCAGAGCUACAGCUGCCGGCCUUCACCACAGCCACAGCAAUGCCAGAUCCGAGCUGCGUCUGUCACCUGCACCACAGCUCAUGGCAACCCAGGAUCCUUAACCCACUGAGCAAGGCCAGGGAUCGAACCUGCAUCCUCACGGAUACAAGUCAGAUUGGUUUUCUGCUGAGCCACGAUGGGAACUCCCAUGUCUUAUUUUCUGUAAGCCACACAACUUAAUUUUCCUUAACAUUAAAUCUUUUGAGUAAAAACUGAGAAACGUGGCUGUAUCCCAGCUCUGGUCAACCACUCAAUCUCAGGUCCUCCACGCAACGUCAUUCAUGACUCACGAUAUACAACUGCAAGCAUGAAACUCGUACUAUCCUUACCUUUUGGAACCAGCUUACCGGGGCAACACUCGGCUGGCUUUCACACGGGAACCACUGCCACGUGUGCUCACUUCACCCUCGUGAAGCCCCUCGCUGUCUCAAUUAC